GGCUUCUCAGCGAAGCGGGGCGGCUGACGCUGCCCCGCGGGGGUCCCGGUGUCAACCAUUGACGAGUGUUGCGGAACUAAUGCGUACGUAGACCAGAGCGGAAGGCGGAGUGCGCUUGCAGGCGGCACGAGAGUAGGCCUGUCGUGUGAUGUCGUGUCUGUGGUUUGCCGCUGCUGCAUACCCCCCCCCUGGGGGUGGCUCUGCUGUGUGUGCUGUGCUGAGCGGUAGGUUGUUGCCGGUGCCUGUCGGGUGACUCAGUGCGUGUGACUCAGCGUGUCAAACCCGGUCCUGCAUGGGAGCCGCUACGGGCCCAGCGGGGGUAUGCCGGGCCAGCGAGUCCCUGACUCGCUGGUUGUGUUGCCAACAGCGCAAGCUAGCAGACUGUGUAUCAGACUGUGUCAACCAACCCAUCGCGAGCAUUAGCCUUGUCCGUUCCUUCGCUUCCCAAACGUUAGCAUCCCACUACGUUAGACUGCGUCAGCCUGCCUCGCGCCAGCAGCAGCAGCCAGCCUCCGUGGCUGAAUCGCUCAUCAUUGGUUGUCCCCGCGUCAGCGUCCAGACCUGAUCACCCUGGUACGCGGCCGGGCAUUGGGACAUUGGUGGCCAUACGGGGUCCCUUAGACACUCUAGGACCGUAUCCGGUACAUGCAACACAACCCUCAGUUGCUAUUGGCGAACUCGGCGCUGCAUCCCACUGCGCUCUCGCCCUUCUUCUCCGCGGCUACUUCUCACUGGACAACAAGGCUUUGCUCAUUCAUCCCUUCCUCUCGCUUACCUACAUCUACGAAGCAUGUCAGAUGCAUCAUGGCUCCGUCGAGUCGGGCGCGGCGCCCAUUUUCACUUCGCCGGCUGACGACCGCGAAGCUUGCUACACUCGGCGCACCUUGGCAGACUCUCGGGACAUAAUGCAGAUGGCAGACCAGGUCAUCGCAACUCUACCGCAGGAUGGUUACUCUGGCCCCUCGGCUCCGACAGCGCUGGCGACGCUGCACCUGAGUCCGCGCACGCGGCCAUUGGCGCCCUCACGCUCGCCUCAGCAGCACUGUCAGCGCCAGCUGCCUCCUCCAGCAGCUCCCUGCCUGCAGCCGCCAGCGCUCCCGCGCCCGCCGCCGCCGCCAGCGCCGCGCCCAGCAGUGACGCCGCCGCCGUCGACCCGGUCAGCUCUGCCGUCUCCAUGUACGCGCCUUACGCCUACGCCUUCCCCAUCCUCGCGGGCCACAGCAGCCCUGGCGACUCCACUGCGCCCGCUGCUGCACCCUGCGCCGCCGCCAACGGUGCAUCUGCAUCUUCUGACUUCCUCGGCGCUGCAUCCCAGAGCGCCAUUCUCACCGCCGCACCCUCGUGUGGCUUCGCCUCCAUCCCUCAAGACGCUGCAUACGUCUUCACCCCUUCACCUGGUCCUGCCUCAAGCAGCACCAUGGGCGCUGCUGCAUCCCAGAGCAGCGCCGGCGUCGCCGCCUCCGCCAUCGGCGCUGCCGCCGCACUCCCCGCGGCUGGCGCCGCAGCCGGCGACGCCUCCUCCCGUGCCGCCCCCGCUGGCGGCACACCUCAAGCCACACAGGCCACCGGUCCCGCGUCCGGCUCGCGCCUGCCGCUCGGCUUUGAGCAAUUCGAGAUGCGGCCGGCCAACUCAGAGGUCCUGCCGCUCCUCGCCACUUCCUCGCCUGCCCCUCCUGCUUCUUCUCCUGCCCCUCCUGCUUCUGCUCCUGCCUUCUCCAUCACCACCUCUCGCUGCGUGGCGGCCCCGCCUUCGCUGCUGGGGGGGGGGGACCGCUGGGCCGCGUGCACAGCAGCAGCUCAGCCAACGCCGCCGCCACCAGCGUUUCCUCGCCUAAGCCGCCGCCCGCCACUGUGGCCGGCGGCCGCUCGCCAUGAGCGCCCCAGACGGCGCGCAGCCGUCAGCAGGCGUCAACCCGCCUGAUAGCGCAUCAGCGCCUGGCAGCUCCGCGCACGCCGGCUCCCGCCUUGAGCGGCAGCCAGAUGGGUGGGCCUAUUGCGAGCGUCCCGACGUCACGGCCUCCCAACGUGACGCAUUCCUUGGGUUGUUGGCGGUCAACGCCACCGCCUUCACCUCGGGUACCUCGGGCAGCACGCAACCAGCAGCAGCAGCUGCAGCAACAGUAGCAGGAGAUGAGGCGCCAGCCGGCGCCUCUGCCCCGGGCAGCUUCACACCCGAGGGCCCUCGCUCGCUCCCGCCUGACGGCCGGUUCGAGCGGCAGCCUGAUGGGUGGGUCCACUGCGACCGACAAGACGUCACGGCAUCCCAACGUGACGCAAUUCUGGCCUUCAUGAACGCCAGCACGAGCACCUUCGCCUACAAGUUAGCAGAUCUUGUGGGCUACGGUGGCGACGUCGGCCUUGAGCUUCGCCACGGCCGUGCAAUCUAUGAGCGCCCGCGCCCGCACACCGCAGACGAGCUCACAAUCGUGGAGUCCAAGCUACUCCUGGCCUACGGGGACCCGGCGGCCGCCGCCUGGCUGCCGGGAGCUGCAGCUGGGGGGGCACCCACAGCCGACGCUGGGGGGGCACCCACAGCCGCCACUGGGGGGGCACCGGAGCCUCACGCUGGGGGGGCGCCUGUGGAGGGCGUGCCCAUCGGCGCCGAUGGCCGGCCAGCGUCUCAGCAAGUGCUCGCGGCUGCCAUCACCGCCCCGGCCCUGGUCUACCCUGCCGGCGCGCUCAUCCAAAGCGCGCGGGCCCGCUGGGCACAGCUGCAGGCGCUGCCCUCCGCGGUCUCGGUCAACGCCACCGCCAUCGUGCCCGACGCGAACGAGCUGUUUGCCGGCCACAACGGCGGCCCCACUGACGCCACGGAAGCCCCGCCGGCUGAGCGCCCGCCUGACCAACUCCUUAUCCAACUUCUCACUGUCAUCCAAGCCGCGCGUGUGCAGCUUCGGCAGCUGCCACGGUCCCCGCCACUGCCCCUCCGCCUGCGCUCCGGCACGGGCGACGUCCUGGGGCUGGACACGCGGCUGGUGCAGCACAACUUCUUCGCAGCCGCCAUGGGGGAUGCGGGCAUCACGCUGCUGGAGCUGCCCGGCGGCCUGGCCUCAGGGCUGCAAGCCGCCUUGCGGAUGGGCUUCCGCAUCCGGCGCUACGUCCACGUCGACACCGACCCCGCCGUGCGUGCCUCUGUCGCCCGGCUGCUGCCCAUGCUCGCCACGCAGCAUGCACCGCUGCUGCCGCCGCAGUCGUGGCAGCUGCACUCUGGCCCCGACCGCCUCGGCCUCACACCGGCGGACCUGGUGCCCUGGGCACUCGGGCCGGAGGGAGCGGAGCAGCUGCGGUUGCACGACGGCAGCCAAUGGCUUGUGGUCACCAGCUGGGCCUCGCACGCGCUCUGGCGCGACUCGCUCGCCCUCCAGCGCCUCGGCGGCCUGCAGCAGCAGCUAGCCAGCCGCCGCCUUCCCCAGCUCGCCUUCCUCGCGGAGGGUCCCUGGUGUGCGGAGUCACCAGACGCCUCGCCGCCCUUCGGGCCGCCCGCCGGCAUUGAUGCUGUGCAGGCCGGCAGCCCCGCGCAUCGCGUCACCUCUCUCUACACCAACCUGGCCGACUCAUCCCAAGUCGACUUUGCCUUCUCUCACCUGCGCCCUCUUCCCAGCCGCCUGCUUGCUGCCGUGCUGCCGCACGGCCGCACGCCUGGUGCUGCGCAACGGCCCCUCCCUCCUCCUUACGUGGCGCUGCAGGCCCCCGGCCAACCCCUCGCCGCGCUGCCCCCGCCUUCCCCGCCGCCCGCCGCCCCGGAGCCGCCACCGCUGCGUGCCGGCCCUGAUGGCCUGCCCUGCGCCCCGGACGCGGCGGACUGGCUCGCCGUCUCCACCCACCACUCCUCCCUCUCCUUGCCCGCCGCCUUCGCCGUCCAGCUGCUCCGCCGCCACACGCCGCCGGCUGUCUUCACGGCCGCCUUGGCUGCCGCCACGGCUCUCCACCGCCUCUUCUUCACGCGCCACGACAUGCAGCCGCUUCCCCCUCGUCAGAUCGACGCCCCGGCCUCCACGCUGGGGGGGGGAGCUGCCGCCUCGGGCCCAGCAGACCACCUGGAGACCGCCUUUGCAGCGCUGGCGCUGUCAGACGAGCCGUCACCACUGCUGGACGCGACCGAGACCACUCUCGCGGUUGCCCUGCUUCACCAGCGUCUCCUCGGGGCGCGCAUGGGUGCGCAGCUGCAUGUCUACGCCGCAGUGGCGGAAGCUGCGGAGCAAGCGGACUGGGCUGACGCCGCACUGCCGGCGUCGGCGGCCCCGGCCGCCGCCAGCACCACCAUCGCCUCCGCAGCCCUGGGCCCGUCAACCCCUGACACCGCAGACGUCUGGAACGACGCCCCCGUCAUGGACCUGCUGCGCCUGGGCGCCCAGCCUGACAGCCUCAGCCGCGAGGAACGGCAACGUGUACAGCGCCGCGCCGCCAGCCACCGCUGGACCGGAGAGCAGCUCAUCCGCCUCAUGCCCGACGGCAACACACGCGUCUGCCCGCCGCCGGAGGCCCGUGACGCCAUCGUCCAGCAAACGCACGAGAUCGGACACCUCGGCGAGCGCCGCACCUUGGCGCUGUGCCAGCUGGGCUACUGGUGGGCCGGCCAGCGGGCGACGGUGCAGGGCGUUGUGCAGCGCUGCAAGCUGUGCGACAUGGCCAACACCGGAGGCAUGGUGCGGCCUGUUCAACUGCAGCCGCUGCCAAUCCGCGGCAUGUUCUACCGCUGGGGCAUCGACCUGGCGGGCAACUUGCACCCGACUUCCCCCGAUGGCUACACCUACGUGAUGGUGUGCGUGGAGCACUUCACCAAGUGGAUCGAGCUUUUCCCGCUCACCACCAAGUCCGCCAGCGAGACCGCACGAGGGCUGGUGGAGCUCCUGACGCGCUUCGGCUCGCCCGCAGAGGUCACCACUGAUCGCGGCACCGAGUUUGAGGGUCCGUUCCAGGCGCUGUGCGAGGCUAACGCCAUCGACCACCGGCGCACGCAGCCCGACCAUCCGCAAGCCAACGGCCUAGCGGAGCGCAUGGUGCAGGUUGUAAAAGCGGCACUGCGCAAGCACUGCCGCAGCACGCAGUCCAACGACACGUGGGACAAGGCGCUGCCUUGGCUCGCCCUGGCCUACCGCUGCUCGCCUCAAGCUUCAACCCGCUACUCGCCCUACAAGCUGCUCUACGGCGUGGACCCCAUCAUCCCGCCUGCCGUCCGCCCGCGCUUUGAGGAGCACGAGCUAGCCUUCACCGGCGACGGCAGUGAGCAAGCUUACGCGGAGGCGCUCCUGCAGCGCUCGGAGUGGCUGCGGCGGCACGCGCCUGCCGCAGCCGGCAACCUGCUCAUCGCACAGCACCGCGACACCCAGCGCUAUGCUCUCACCCGCAGCGGCGGCUACCGCGCGCGGGCACUGGAGUUUGUGCCCGGUGACUACGUGUACCUGCGCAACGCAAAUCCCGACAACACGUUGGAGAUGCCGGUACGCGACCAGGUGCUGCGCGUGGAGCAUGUGGGCGACAUGGGCGUGGCCGCGCUAGUCGGCCGCGACACCGCACGCCUCCGUGCGCGAGUGGAGCAGUUGGUGCCGUGCCACCUGCCCAACCUGGACCCGAUUCAGGACGCCCGGCUGCUACGCACCAGCAACGACCUGGAGUGCGAAGUGUGCCACAGCCCGCAGCAGCCCUCCCGCAUGCUGCUGUGUGACGGCUGCGGCACCGGCUGGCACCUCCGCUGCCUCACGCCGCCACUCAGCAGGGUGCCUCCUGGCGCCUGGAUGUGCCCGGGCUGUGUGGAGCUGGGCAAGGCUCCACCCACUGGCCCCGCGCCGCAGCGGCCCUCGGCGGGUCCAGUGCUGUUCCCCAACGCUGAUACGCGACGCCGCGACGCAGAAGCAGCUACCCUCGACGGCGUGUCAGUUGUACGGGCAGUUCCUGGCCCAGCCGGAACACCGCGGCAGUUGCAGAACGGCACUCUGCGCUUCCGCGGGCCCUUGUCACGCCCCUUCUACUUCAUGGUGGAGUGGCCGGGAGGCUCCGCCGAGGCCAUCACCCUGGCCGAUGCAAAACGCCUGCAACGGCAAACAGUGCCAUCGUCACCUGCAUCAGCCCCUGCCCAGGGCGGCGAGCCCACGGCCAAGCGCCGUGUUCAGCCUCGCCGCUGAUGCACCAACCCUGCCGGCAUCCCAACGGCAGGACCUCGCGCACGCCGGCAUCCCAACGGCGUGUGCCGCGCUGGCAUCCCAACAGCGCGCACCCACGGACAUCUGCUUGGAGCUAGCUUGGACUCGAAGCUAGCAAUGAGGAUUGACUAACCCAGUGACGUGUGACUAGCUAGGUGUCUGUUCUCGUUUGUCGUGUGGCACGAACUCACUCGCAUAUCAUUCUGGUGUCAUGCGUUUGCUGUCCCGUGCGUCUGUAUGUGCUUCCGACUUUGCCAGUCUCGCUGACUCCCCUGUCUUCAGUCGUGGGGGGGAUAUCUCCGCCCGGGAGCGGCGUUGUGCAAGUUCGGCUGUGGCGCAUGUCAGCUGUCGUGUGAUGUCGUGUCUGUGGUUUGCCGCUGCUGCAUACCCCCCCCCUGGGGGUGGCUCUGCUGUGUGUGCUGUGCUGAGAGGUAGGUUGUUGCCGGUGCCUGUCGGGUGACUCAGUGCGUGUGACUCAGCGUGUCAAACCCGGUCCUGCAUGGGAGCCGCUACAGGUCCAGCAGGGGUAUGCCGGGCCAGCGAGUCCCUGACUCGCUGGUUGUGUUGCCAACAGCGCAAGCUAGCAGACUGUGUAUCAGACUGUGUCAACCAACCCAUCGCGAGCAUU
rnacentral:lncRNA from 1 species